UAUAAGCCUUGCUCUGUAAUGGGAUGGGAUCCGAAGCCCUCCGAGGGAUAAUAGAAUAUAGGCUCUCCCAUCCAACUCCUAUUCCGACACGUCCUCGUCGAACAGAGUGGUAACAUGAGCCUUCUUAUAUCCUAGCUUGGGUACACGGGCUAGAUCCAACCCCUUGGGCGGAUGGUGGCAUAUGGCGAACCAGGAGAGG
rnacentral:ribozyme from 1 species